UACCCAACUAAUAGUUAUCUCACCAACCCGACCACCAUCCCUAGUUACCCAACUCAUCAUUCUGAUUAUCUACCGUAAAAGAACAUUCGGAGAUGCAGCAAAUAAAUAGAUAAAGAGGGUAAGCCACACAUUAGUAAAUUAAGAAAAAAUUGAUUUUUGGUGGCCUCGAACUGAAAGAAAAUCGAGAUCUAAACUGACGGGUUAUCCCCUGUAGUAUGAUGUAGUUGCUCCUGACACUGUCUCGGUCAGUUCAUGAUUAUCACAGUUUCUCUUCCCAACAUUGCAUGAGCAUUGUCAUACAGUCUGAUGUUCGAUAAUUUAGCGGGUGGAAUAUUACAAUAUGAUGAAGAGUUGCAGA